GAUGAACGCUGGCGGCGUGCCUAAUACAUGCAAGUCGAGCGAACGGACGAGAAGCUUGCUUCUCUGAUGUUAGCGGCGGACGGGUGAGUAACACGUGGAUAACCUACCUAUAAGACUGGGAUAACUUCGGGAAACCGGAGCUAAUACCGGAUAAUAUUUUGAACCGCAUGGUUCAAAAGUGAAAGACGGUCUUGCUGUCACUUAUAGAUGGAUCCGCGCUGCAUUAGCUAGUUGGUAAGGUAACGGCUUACCAAGGCAACGAUGCAUAGCCGACCUGCGAGGGUGAUCGGCCGCACUGGAGCUGGGACACGGUCCAGACUACUACGGGAGGCAGCAGUAGGGAAUCUUCCGCAAAGGGCGAGAGCCUGACGGAGCAACGCCGCGUGAGUGAUGAAGGUCUUCGGAUCGUAAAACUCUGUUAUGAGGGAAGAACAUAUGUGUAAGUAACUGUGCACAUCUUGACGGUACCUAAUCAGAAAGCCACGGCUAACUACGUG
rnacentral:rRNA from 1 species